rnacentral:rRNA from 1 species
GAUGAACGCUGGCGGCGUGCCUAACACAUGCAAGUCGAGCGAACAGACGAGGAUUUUGCUUCUCUGACGUUAGCGGCGGACGGGUGAGUAACACGUGGAUAACCUACCUAUAAGACUGGGAUCACUUCGGGAAAGCUGAUCCAAUACCGGAUAAUAUAUUGAACCGCAUGGUUCAAUAGUCAAAGACGGUUUUGCUGUCACUUAUAGAUGGUUCCGGGCCGGAUUAGCUAGUUGGUAAGGUAACGGCUUACCAAGGCGACGAUGCGUAGCCGACCUGAGAGGGUGAUCGGCCACACUGGAACUGAGACACGGUCCAGACUCCUACGGGAGGCAGCAGUAGGGAAUCUUCCGCAAUGGGCGAAAGCCUGACGGAGCAACGCCGCGUGAGUGAUGAAGGUCUUCGGAUCGUAAAACUCUGUUAUUAGGGAAGAACAAAUGUGUAAGUAACUAUGCACGUCUUGACGGUACCUAAUGAAAAAGCAACGGCUAACUACGUG